AAUCUUCAUUUGAAUCUUUCUUUUUUCGCUUUAUUUCAUCAUCUACUUUUCAGAGCGAAAAAUAAAACCCUCACUCGCUACUUUUCGCUAUUAGUUAAUUGAUAAGUUUAGAUUCGAAUAAUUAGUUUGCAGUUCGAAUCUUAUUUAAAGAGAAAAUUGCGUGCGUGUUUCUGUAAUAAUUUAUAUUCAUUCAUAAACGAUGCUCGUUCUAUUUUUUAAGAAAUAAUAUAAGCUGAAAAUGAUUAGAUUUCAAAUUUAUGAUUUCGAAUGCCACACAUCAGUUUUUAACCAACUGUGCUAGACACGGUCGAUAUUUGUGUUGUAUUUUGAAGCGCAAUGAAUUAG
rnacentral:lncRNA from 1 species